rnacentral:rRNA from 1 species
CCUACGGGAGGCAGCAGUGAGGAAUAUUGGUCAAUGGGCGAGAGCCUGAACCAGCCAAGUAGCGUGCAGGAUGACGGCCCUAUGGGUUGUAAACUGCUUUUAUACAGGGAUAAAGUCGGGGACGCGUUCCCCGUUUGCAGGUACUGUAUGAAUAAGGACCGGCUAAUUCCGUGCCAGCAGCCGCG